GUGUUUGCUUCGGCAGCACAUUUACGGGGAUGGGAUGAUACAGAGGAGAUUCGCAUGGCCCCUGGGCAAGGAUGGCACACAAAUUUGUGAAGUGUUCAAUAUUAAA